GACGAACGCUGGCGGCGUGCUUAACACAUGCAAGUCGAACGGAGUGGCGAACGGGUGAGUAACACGAGGGUGAUCUGCCUUGCACUUCGGGGUAAGCUUGGGAGACUGGGUCUAAUACCGGAUAGUGCAAGAUUUGCUCGCGGCCUAACAGCUUGUUGGUGGGGGACUGGCCUACGCAGGCGUCGACGGAUAGCCGGCCUGAGAGGGUGUACGGGGUCAUUGGGACUGAGAUACGGCCCAGACGCCUACGGGGGGCAUCAGUGGGGAAUAUUGCACAAUGGGCGGAAGCGUGAUGCAGCGACGCCGGGUGGGGGAUGAACGCCUUCUUGUUGUAAAGUCCUGUCGACAGGGACGCGGUACCAAUAUAAUAAGCACCGGCUAACUACGUGCCAGCAGCCGCGGUAAUAC
rnacentral:rRNA from 1 species